rnacentral:rRNA from 1 species
GAUGAACGCUAGCGACAGGCUUAACACAUGCAAGUCGAGGGGCAUCGGGACGUAGCAAUACGUUGCCGGCGACCGGCGGAUGGGUGAGUAACGCGUAUGCAACCUGCCCACGACAGGGGGAUAGCCCGUUGAAAGACGGAUUAAUACCCCAUAAAACAGGGGUUCCGCAUGGGACUAUUUGUUAAAGGGUUUUCCGCGAGGGGGAUCCGGUUGUGGACGGGCAUGCGUUCCAUUAGGCAGUUGGUGGGGUAACGGCUCACCAAACCGACGAUGGAUAGGGGAACCGGGAGGUUGGUCCCCCACACUGGUACUGAGAUACGGACCAGACUCCUACGGGAGGCAGCAGUGAGGAAUUUUGGUCAAUGGACGGAAGUCUGAACCAGCCAAGUCGCGUGAGGGAAGGCGGCCCUAAGGGUUGUAAACUUCUUUUGUAAGGGAAUAAAGGCCGGUACGCGUUACCGGUUUGCAGGUACCUUACGAAUAAGGAUCGGCUAACUCCGUG